AAAGGAAAGGGAAAAAACGGAGCAAAAGAAACGAGAGGCUGGAAAAUUGAAAGAGGUUUCGGCAGUAGAAAAAUCAGAAGGGAAAAAAGGAAAUAAAAAGAAGGAAGAAAUCAGAGGGGGUCUUCGGCAAGAGCAGAGGAAAAAUCUAAGAGGGCCGAGAGGUAAAGGAAUGAAGAAAACGCAGAGCCAGAAAAGGGGAAGGUUUGGGAACAUUGAGGGGAAGUUUUCGGGUGAGGCCAAUAUCGAAGGAGAGAGAGAGAGAACCAGAGAGUAGACGGAAGCAGAGGAAUCAACAAGCGAUUGCUGUGAUCACUGCCGCCACUGGAAACCACCACCUCGUCUGAGUCCAGCACUGCCGCUUGCAGGUCGCCGUAAGUCAUCCUUUUUUAUUUGCAUUUCAGUUUUCCCUCAAACAGAGGCUUUGGAAAUUUGCAGAACAUGUCUG
rnacentral:lncRNA from 1 species